GUCUAUGGUCAUGCCACCCCGAUGUCUGAUCUCGGAAGCUAAGCAGGGUCGGGCCUGGUUAGUACCUGGAUGGGAGACCAUGUAGGAAGACAGAUGCUGUAGGCA
rnacentral:rRNA from 1 species